rnacentral:rRNA from 1 species
GCAGGAAGACUACCUGCUUGAUAGGCGACCAGGUGUAAGCACAGUAAUGUGUGAGCCUAGGCGUACUAAUGGUCGAGAGGCUUCACCAA